GGCGAUAGCUAUGAUGAUAACAUUUUCCCAGCUCAUUAUGAGACCUUAUUUUUUAGUUCUAGGAAUAUAAUCCGUUUCCACCACAUAAAUCUGAGCUUCGCC